rnacentral:rRNA from 1 species
UACGUAGGGGCCAAGCGUUGUCCGGAUUUAUUGGGCGUAAAGAGCUCGUAGGCGGUUCGGUAAGUCAGGUGUGAAAUCUCAGAGCUCAACUCUGAAACUGCACUCGAUACUGCUCUGCUUGAGGACUGGAGAGGAGACUGGAAUUCACGGUGUAGCAGUGAAAUGCGUAGAUAUCGUGAGGAAGACCAGUGGCGAAGGCGGGUCUCUGGACAGUUCCUGACGGCUGAGGCGCGAAGGCCAGGGGGAGCAA